CGCCAUCGCCGCUCGACGAUCGAGGCAUCGAGAUGGGCUGUAGUCAGCUGAAAGCACUGCUGCAGCGGGGUCAGCGUCGAUCCGUCAGCUCACAUUUUGAACUGGGCGCGACGACGGCGACGGCUUUGGCUUGCGAAGCAUGCUUCGUUUGAGUGCCAAAGCGUGGGUUGGAUAUCCUUGGAGAAAAAAUAGGUUUGCAUCGUCUCCAUCGUGAGACGGAUGCCUGUUCUGCUUACAUUGUGAAGAGAAGAUAUGUCUGGAAGCUUCCAGGUGUUGAUGGUGAUCGAAAGGUUGCCUGAGACGUCCGAGCCCAGUCCCGAAGAAGCCAUGGAUGGUCUAGCCGACCGGAAAUGGAAGAGGGUCUGGAGGUAGGAGGGAAGUCUUGUCCUUGAGGCAUGAUCGUUGUUGGGGUGUUCUUCGGAACGCGCCUCUGAUGGUCGUGUCGGAUUGGUGUUGCCUGACCGCGCAUCACCGGACAGAUCUCGAGAAGCUGGUCUUAAGAUAUGGCCUCGAAGUCGCUCGGCGUGACUUUUGUGAGGACCAUAUCGAACACGUCGAUGGCAUUGUUGGAAAGCGCGAUUGUAAAAGGUAAUCGCGCAUAGCUGGUCUGGCGACUGCAAGGUCUCCGGAUUUUGGCUGCUGCGGCAUACGAAAGUUGCCCGGAUGGCCAGAUUUGGCACCCCUUCGAGCGCAAGCGAGGAGGAUAGGUU
rnacentral:misc_RNA from 1 species